rnacentral:lncRNA from 1 species
UGCCGGAGUGAAGGAAAGACGAAGCGCUAUUUUGGGAGAGAGAUAAAGACAGUUCGAUUUCUUUGCUAAACAAUAGAGGCAAAAAUGCCUUUUCAAUAUUUUGAAAAGAUAUAUUAAUGACACUGCAGAGCAUGACACCGUCGAAUGUGGCAAAGCUAGGGACGUCACAUCCAGCCACAAAGGCACUACUUGUCAUAUAUUUUACAUAAAAUAUGUCAUAAUAUACACAUACCAUAUCAUAAAUUUGACCUAGGAUGUCAUAAUAUUAUCAGAUCUAUAUAACAUUA